rnacentral:rRNA from 1 species
UACGUAGGUGGCAAGCGUUGUCCGGAUUUACUGGGCGUAAAGAGCGCGCAGGCGGUCGUACAAGUCGCGUGUGAAAGCCCCCGGCUCAACUGGGGAGGGUCACGCGAUACUGUUCGACUCGAAGGCAGGAGAGGGAAGCAGAAUUCCCGGUGUAGUGGUGAAAUGCGUAGAUAUCGGGAGGAAUACCAGUGGCGAAGGCGGCUUCCUGGCCUGUUCUUGACGCUGAGGCGCGAAAGCUAGGGUAGCAAGCGGG